UGGUGGCCUCUGUGCGCCGUCUGCACUCGUUGCAGGCGACGAUGCAGAGGGCUGUAAGUGUGGUGGCCCAUCUGGGCUCUCGCCUGCAGGCAUUCUCCCCGGCCUUGUGUCGUCCAUUUAGUUGCGCACAGGACACCGCUGUAUGACUUCCACCUGGCCCACGGCGGGAAAAUGGUGGCGUUUGCGGGUUGGAGUCUGCCAGUGCAGUACCGGGACAGUCACACUGACUCGCACCUGCACACACGCCAGCACUGCUCGCUCUUUGACGUGUCUCAUAUGCUGCAGACCAAGAUACUUGGUAGUGACCGGGUGAAGCUGAUGGAGAGUCUAGUGGUUGGAGACAUUGCAGAGCUAAGACCAAACCAGGGGACACUGUCGCUGUUUACCAACGAGGCUGGAGGCAUCUUAGAUGACUUGAUUGUAACCAGUACUUCUGAGGGCCACCUGUAUGUGGUGUCCAACGCUGGCUGCUGGGAGAAAGAUUUGGCCCUCAUGCAGGUAUACCCCCUCUGUGUUCUAGGCACCUUGUCUUCCUUGUUCAUAGAGCAGCAUCCUUGUUAUCCAAGACAGGGUUGGCACAGACAAAGGACCUGGAAAAUGGCUCUUUCAGUGAAUGAACAGCUAUGAGACUCAAGAGCAGGCCCUCUCUGGAGCAUGCCAGGGUUUGGUGGUGGGGGAUUACCAGGCAUGGGGAGGGGGUCUUGGCCCCUCUGGUGUGAGGUGGCAGACCUGGGCUUGGGUCAUCUCUAUCACUUAGUAGCUAUGUGACCUUGUAAGAUGGGAACCAGCCUACUACCUUUUUUUCCUCCCUCCUCCUCCUCCUCUCCACUGUCUUACUACUGUCCAGCUCUGCAGCGUCCAGCCCAUGGUAGCUGCUCAGUAAGUGGCCCCAGAUGCUCUUGUGUUUCUGUCUUUUAGGACAAGGUCAGGGAGCUUCAGAACCAGGGCAGAGAUGUGGGCCUGGAGGUGUUGGAUAAUGCCCUGCUAGCUCUGCAAGGUGAGAGGGCUGGGCUGGGGUUGGAGCCAACCUUUGCCUUCCUGGCUUUAUUGACUGCUUAGCACAGAGGCCAUACCAAGAAGAAGGUGUGGAAGGUGUGAUAUUUGUGUGCCAUAAUUUUAAGUUUGGUAUCUUGCCCUCCUCCUACCUACCACAAGGCUCCAUGGGCUAGAGACAAGGGCAUCUUCUCCCACUUGCAGAGUAAGACGUGCUCAGGGCUUGUUCUAGUCCCUGAAUAAGGCUUUAGUCCAGGUUUGAGGGAUGCUGGGACCUGGAUACUUGGUCACUGGCUCCCUGGGCCCAGGCCCCACUGCAGCCCAGGUACUACAGGCCGGCGUGGCAGAUGACCUGAGGAAACUGCCCUUCAUGACCAGUGCUGUGAUGGAGGUGUUUGGCGUGUCUGGCUGCCGUGUGACCCGCUGUGGCUACACAGGAGAGGAUGGUGUGGAGGUGUGUCAAGAAGUGGUGUAGGGGGCAGUACAGGGCACAAGAUGCAUGUGAGGGGUUGGGGGUAUGUGGUACAGGGAGCUUCCCAUCUGCCCUCUGGUGUUUCAUACAGAUCUCGGUGCCGGUAGCGGGGGCAGUUCACCUGGCAACAGCUCUUCUGAAAAACCCAGAGGUGAAGCUGGCAGGGCUGGCAGCCAGGGACAGCCUGCGCCUGGAGGCAGGCCUCUGCCUGUACGGGAAUGACAUUGAUGAACACACUACACCUGUGGAGGGCAGCCUCAGUUGGACACUGGGGAAGCGCCGCCGAGCUGCUAUGGACUUCCCUGGAGCCAAAGUCAUUGUUCCCCAGCUGAAGGGCAAGGUGCAGCGGAGGCGUGUGGGGUUGAUGUGUGAGGGGGCCCCCAUGCGGGCACACAGUCCCAUCCUGAACAUGGAGGGUACCAAGAUUGGUACUGUGACUAGUGGCUGCCCCUCGCCCUCUCUGAAGAAGAAUGUGGCGAUGGGUUAUGUGCCCUGCGAGUACAGUCGUCCAGGGACAAUGCUGCUGGUAGAGGUGCGGCGGAAGCAGCAGAUGGCUGUAGUCAGCAAGAUGCCCUUUGUGCCCACAAACUACUAUACCCUCAAGUGAAGCUGGCUCAGGGUGGGGCUGUCCCUUCCAGAAGUUUUGCCCCUACAAGGGGUUAGUCAAGAAGCUGAGGCAGAACUCACUGGGGGUGGGCAGUUAAGGUGGAGGCUGAUUCUAAUUGUCUGGCUGAGGGGCCACACCACCUAUUCCCCCCACCUAACUCAUGCCACUCCAGCUUCCUUCAGGACCCUGCUUCUGAGUGACGGACCAGCUCACACAAUGUCUUGUUUCAGUCCAUGAUCCCACUGACCUACUCUUGCCUGCUGGAGGGUAAUGAGAAGCUUUGGUUCUGCCAUCUCUCCCACUCUGCCAGGUGCUGGCUGUGGAGCAAAGGCUCACCUUUGUGGGGAGGAUAAAACCUGCCCAACCUACCUCACCAUGGUUUUUCACAUUGCAAACGGUAAUAACAUGGGCAGUGUGGACUUAGGCUACCCCCUCCAGUUUGCUUUCCGUAAAUGCAAAUUGUCCCUACUGCAAGUCAGGAAUGAUUGCCGACUCACAGUAGGGCUGCUAUGCCUGUGUGUAAACUUGGGGAUGGCUGAGGGAACACAGACUCACUCUUCCGCAUUCCCAAGUUGGUCUAGUGUGCUGCCCAGUAGCAAACCAUGGCAGGCUCACCACCUAUUCUGAGCUCCAGGGCUGUUGUAGGGCAGGGUGGGCUUCCUCCCAGACUUGCCUUACCCUGGGCUGAUCUUUGCCCCUGGUAUGCAUUAAUGGACUCCACUGAAUCCUGAAAAAAAAUUA
rnacentral:sRNA from 1 species